rnacentral:rRNA from 1 species
ACGCUGGCGGCGUGCUUAACACAUGCAAGUCGAACGAUGAAGCCCAGCUUGCUGGGUGGAUUAGUGGCGAACGGGUGAGUAACACGUGAGUAACCUGCCCUUAACUCUGGGAUAAGCCUGGGAAACUGGGUCUAAUACCGGAUAGGAGCGUCUACCGCAUGGUGGGUGUUGGAAAGAUUUAUCGGUUUUGGAUGGACUCGCGGCCUAUCAGCUUGUUGGUGAGGUAAUGGCUCACCAAGGCGACGACGGGUAGCCGGCCUGAGAGGGUGACCGGCCACACUGGGACUGAGACACGGCCCAGACUCCUACGGGAGGCAGCAGUGGGGAAUAUUGCACAAUGGGCGCAAGCCUGAUGCAGCGACGCCGCGUGAGGGAUGACGGCCUUCGGGUUGUAAACCUCUUUCAGUAGGGAAGAAGCGAAAGUGACGGUACCUGCAGAAGAAGCACCGGCUAACUACGUGCCAGCAGCCGCGGUAAUACGUAGGGUGCGAGCGUUAUCCGGAAUUAUUGGGCGUAAAGAGCUCGUAGGCGGUUUGUCGCGUCUGUCGUGAAAGUCCGGGGCUUAACCCCGGAUCUGCGGUGGGUACGGGCAGACUAGAGUGCAGUAGGGGAGACUGGAAUUCCUGGUGUAGCGGUGGAAUGCGCAGAUAUCAGGAGGAACACCGAUGGCGAAGGCAGGUCUCUGGGCUGUAACUGACGCUGAGGAGCGAAAGCAUGGGGAGCGAACAGGAUUAGAUACCCUGGUAGUCCAUGCCGUAAACGUUGGGCACUAGGUGUGGGGACCAUUCCACGGUUUCCGCGCCGCAGCUAACGCAUUAAGUGCCCCGCCUGGGGGAGUACGGCCGCAAGGCUAAAACUCAAAGGAAUUGACGGGGGGCCCGCACAAGCGGCGGAGCAUGCCGGAUUAAUUCGAUGCAACGCGAAGAACCUUACCAAGGCUUGACAUGUUCUCGAUCGCCGUAGA